rnacentral:rRNA from 2 species
UACGUAGGAUGCAAGCGUUGUCCGGAAUUAUUGGGCGUAAAGGGUGCGCAGGCGGUUUUUCAAGUCAGAUGUGAAAUAUCCCGGCUUAACUGGGAGGGGCCAUUUGAAACUGAAAGACUAGAGUGCAGGAGAGGAUAGCGGAAUUCCCGGUGUAGUGGUGAAAUGCGUAGAUAUCGGGAGGAACACCAGUGGCGAAGGCGGCUAUCUGGCCUGCAACUGACGCUGAGGCACGAAGGCUAGGGGAGCGAACAGG